GAUGAACGCCGGCGGCGUGCCUAAUACAUGCAAGUCGAGCGAACGGACGAGAAGCUUGCUUCUCUGAUGUUAGCGGCGGACGGGUGAGUAACACGUGGAUAACCUACCUAUAAGACUGGGAUAACUUCGGGAAACCGGAGCUAAUACCGGAUGAUAUUUUGAACCGCAUGGUUCAAAAGUGAAAGACGGUCUUGCUGUCACUUAUAGAUGGAUCCGCGCUGCAUUAGCUAGUUGGUAAGGUAACGGCUUACCAAGGCAACGAUGCAUAGCCGACCUGAGAGGGUGAUCGGCCACACUGGAACUGAGACACGGUCCAGACUCCUACGGGAGGCAGCAGUAGGGAAUCUUCCGCAAUGGGCGAAAGCCUGACGGAGCAACGCCGCGUGAGUGAUGAAGGUCUUCGGAUCGUAAAACUCUGUUAUUAGGGAAGAACAUAUGUGUAAGUAACUGUGCACAUCUUGACGGUACCUAAUCAGAAAGCCACGGCUGACUACGUGCCAGCAGCCGCGGUAAUACGUAGGUGGCAAGCGUUAUCCGGAAUUAUUGGGCGUAAAGCGCGCGUAGGCGGUUUUUUAAGUCUGAUGUGAAAGCCCACGGCUCAACCGUGGAGGGUCAUUGGAAACUGGAAAACUUGAGUGCAGAAGAGGAAAGUGGAAUUCCAUGUGUAGCGGUGAAAUGCGCAGAGAUAUGGAGGAACACCAGUGGCGAAGGCGACUUUCUGGUCUGUAACUGACGCUGAUGUGCGAAAGCGUGGGGAUCAAACAGGAUUAGAUACCCUGGUAGUCCACGCCGUAAACGAUGAGUGCUAAGUGUUAGGGGGUUUCCGCCCCUUAGUGCUGCAGCUAACGCAUUAAGCACUCCGCCUGGGGAGUACGACCGCAAGGUUGAAACUCAAAGGAAUUGACGGGGACCCGCACAAGCGGUGGAGCAUGUGGUUUAAUUCGAAGCAACGCGAAGAACCUUACCAAAUCUUGACAUCCUUUGACAACUCUAGAGAUAGAGCCUUCCCCUUCGGGGGACAAAGUGACAGGUGGUGCAUGGUUGUCGUCAGCUCGUGUCGUGAGAUGUUGGGUUAAGUCCCGCAACGAGCGCAACCCUUAAGCUUAGUUGCCAUCAUUAAGUUGGGCACUCUAAGUUGACUGCCGGUGACAAACCGGAGGAAGGUGGGGAUGACGUCAAAUCAUCAUGCCCCUUAUGAUUUGGGCUACACACGUGCUACAAUGGACAAUACAAAGGGCAGCGAAACCGCGAGGUCAAGCAAAUCCCAUAAAGUUGUUCUCAGUUCGGAUUGUAGUCUGCAACUCGACUACAUGAAGCUGGAAUCGCUAGUAAUCGUAGAUCAGCAUGCUACGGUGAAUACGUUCCCGGGUCU
rnacentral:rRNA from 1 species